GACAGAGGGUGCUAGCGUUGUUCGGAAUUACUGGGCGUAAAGGGCGCGUAGGCGGUCUGUUAAGUUCGGUGUGAAAUCCCCUGGCUCAACUGGGGAACUGCGCUGGAAACUGGCAGACUCGAGUACCGGAGAGGAGAGUGGAAUUCCUGGUGUAGCGGUGAAAUGCGUAGAUAUCAGGAGGAACACCGGUGGCGAAGGCGGCUCUCUGGACGGAUACUGACGCUGAGGCGCGAAAGCCAGGGGAGCAAACGGG
rnacentral:rRNA from 1 species